CAGGUUCCGAAAUGGAGGAAUGGGCCGUAGGUCAGCUUUAAACCAAGCUCUGUGAGGUCCCAAUCGUCUGCUCUUCAACAAGAAAAGAUUAAUGGCUAAAAUUUUCCGCUGCUCCUUCUCUCCAAAAACUUUUAACCUGUGACUAAGCCGGCGUUGAUGCACCUCUAAUGAGUCAUAGAAGGUAUUCCACCACCGCCCCGAUCUCCUCAGGCAAGGACCGUACAUAUCGUCUGGCUCCACCAGGGGAUGAGUGCAUGUGUGCAGGAGUGGAAGGGAUAAUGUUCCCGUUGUGUUCGGUUUCAUAAGCCGGGAUGGGACACAGGAAGUCGAUUUGAUGAGGUUGAGAUAAGGAUGUUAUUUAAAUAUGCGGAAAAAAAAAAUUCCUAAAACGACGAGG